GUAGCCUGCGAAAAGCUCCGGGGAGCUGGCAAACGAGCUUUGAUCCGGAGAUGUCCGAAUGGGGAAACCCACUCCUAAUGGAGUAUCCAUGACUGAAUCCAUAGGUCAUGUGAAGCGAACGCGGUGAACUGAAACAUCUAAGUAACCGCAGGAAAAGAAAUCAACCGAGAUUCCCAAAGUAGUGGCGAGCGAAAUGGGAUCAGCCUGUACUCUUUAUUCUCAUUGUUAGUCGAACGCUCUGGAAAGUGCGGCCAUAGCAGGUGAUAGCCCUGUAGACGAAAACAGCGGGAAAGAACUGGGUGUACGAAAAGUAGGGCGGGACACGUGAAAUCCUGUCUGAAGAUGGGGGGACCAUCCUCCAAGGCUAAAUACUCGUGAUCGACCGAUAGU
rnacentral:rRNA from 2 species